UAUACGAACGCAAAAAAAUUUUGUGGUCGUAUAUUGGUAUGACGUUGGCGUCGUCGUCGUCGUCGUCGUCGUCGUCGUCGUCGUCCGAAGACACAUUGGUUUUUGCACUCUAACUUUAGUUUAAGUGAAUGGAUCUUUUUGAAAUUUGACCAUAAGGUUAAAUACCACAAAAGGAAGGUUGGGAUUGAUUUUGGGGGUUAUGGUACCAACAGUUAAGGAAUUAGGGGCCAAAAAGGGGCCAAAAAUAAGCAUUUUUGUAACUUCCAGACAAUAACUUGUGUGUAAGUGUAUGGAUCUCUCUGACAUUGUACCACAAGGUUCCAUAUCACAAAGGGAAGGCUGUAAUUGAUUUUGGGGGUAAUUGCCUCAAAAUUUUAGGAAUUAGGGGCCAAAAAAGGGGCAAAAAACAAGCAUUUUUCUAGUUUCAUGACAAUAACUUGUGUGUAAGUGUUUGGAUAUUUCUGAAAUUGUACUACAAGGUUCCAUAUCACAAAGGGAAAGCUGGAAUUGAGUUUGGGGGUAAUUGCCCGAAACGUUUAGGAAUUUGGGGCCAAAAAGGGGCCAAAAAUAAGCAUUUUUCUAGUUUCCAGACAAUAACUUGUGUUCAAGUGUAUGGAUCUCUCUGAAAUUGUACUGCAAGGUACCAUACCACAAAGGGAAGGCUGGGAUUGAGUUUGGGGGUGAUGAAUCAUAAGGGGGUUCAAAAAAUUUGGGGGGGGGAUUUUUUUUUUUCUUUUUUUUUCUUUUUUUCCUUUUUUUUUUUUCUUUAAAAUUUUCCAUUUUAAGUUGGUUAUUUCUGAUUUAUAUUUAAAAGCAAAUAAUAAUGAUAUGGUAGGAGAUACACACCAAACAGGAUGUGUAAAUAAUUAUAUAAUAAGUAUUGUGCAAUAGCAAGAAAUUUUCAAUUGCACAGUAUUGCACAAUAGCAAGAAAUCUUCAAUUGCACAGUAUUGCGCAAUAGCAAGAAAUCUUCAAUUGCACAGUAUUGCGCAAUAGCAAGAAAUAUCCAAUAGCACAAUAUUGCGCAAUAGCAAGAAGUUGUCAAUUGUACAGUAUUGCGCAAUAGCAAGAAAUAUUCAAUUGCACAGUAUUGUGCAAAAGAAGGUACUUCGUAUAAAUUGCUUAUUUCUUGAUCAAUUUCAAUGGGGUUUAUUCUUGAAUUCUUGGGGUUCUUUAAUAUGCUGAAUCUAACCGUGUAUUAAGUUUUUGGAUUUGGGCCCCGUUUUUAAAUUGGUUCAGAUUGAGGUCCAAAGGGUCCAAAAUUUAACUUUGUUUGAUUUCAUCAAUUGAAUUAUUGGGGUUCUUUGAUAUGCCGAAUCUAACCGUGUAUUUAGAUUCUUAAUUUUUGGUUCCGUUUUCAAAUUGGUCUACAUUAAGGUCCAAAGGGUCCAAAAUUAAACUUAGUUUGAUUUGAACAAAAAUUGAAUUUUUAGGGUUCUUUGAUAUGCUGAAUCUAAACAUGUAUUUAGAUUUUUGAUUGUUGGCCCAGUUUUCAAGUUGGUCCAAAUUGGGGUCAAAAAUUAAACUUUGUUUGAUUUCAACAAAAAUUGAAUAUAUGAGGUUCUUUGAUAUGCUGAAUCUAACCAUGUAUUUAGAUUUUUUAUUUGUGGGCCCCGCUAUCAAAUUGGUUCAUAUUGAGGUCAAAAGGGUCCAAAAUUAAACUUUGUUUGAUUUCAUCAAAAAUUGAAUUAUUGGGGUUCUUUGAUAUGCCAAAUCUAACCGUGUUUUUAGAUUUUUAAUUUGGGUUCCGUUUUUUAAAUUGGUCUUCAUUGAGGUCCAAAGGGUCCAAAAUUAAACUUUGCUUGAUUUUAACAAAAAUUGAAUUCUUGGGGUUCUUUGAUAUGCUGAAUCUAAACAUGUGUUUAGAUUUUUGAUUAUGGGCCCAGUUUUCAAGUUGGUCUAAGAUAGGGUCCAGUAUUUAAACUUUUGUUUGAUUUCAACAAAAAUUGAAUAUAUGGGGUUCUUUGAUAUGCUGAAUCUAAACAUGUAUUUAGAUUUUUUAUUUGUGGGCCCCCCUAUCAAAUUGGUUCAUAUUGAGGUCAAAAGGGUCCAAAAUUAAACUUUGUUUGAUUUCAUCAAAAAUUGAAUUAUUGGGGUUCUCUGAUAUGCCAAAUCUAACCGUGUAUUUAGAUUUUUAAUUUUAAGUCCCGUUUUUUAAAUUGGUCUACAUUAA